rnacentral:rRNA from 1 species
UAGGGAAUCUUCCGCAAUGGACGCAAGUCUGACGGAGCAACGCCGCGUGAGUGAAGAAGGAUUUCGGUUCGUAAAACUCUGUUGUUAGAGAAGAACAGCGCAUAGAGUAACUGUUAUGCGUGUGACGGUAUCUAACCAGAAAGCCACGGCUAACUACGUGCCAGCAGCCGCGGUAAUACGUAGGUGGCAAGCGUUGUCCGGAUUUAUUGGGCGUAAAGCGAGCGCAGGCGGUCAAUUAAGUCUGAUGUGAAAGCCCCCGGCUCAACCAUUGUAGGCUUUGGAAACUGUUUAACUUGAGUGCAGAAGGGGAGAGUGGAAUUCCAUGUGUAGCGGUGAAAUGCGCAGAGAUAUGGAGGAACACCAGUGGCGAAGGCGACUUUCUGGUCUGUAACUGACGCUGAUGUGCGAAAGCGUGGGAAUCAAACAGG